CCUACGGGAGGCAGCAGUGAGGAAUAUUGGUCAAUGGGCGCGAGCCUGAACCAGCCAAGUAGCGUGAAUGAUGACUGCCCUACGGGUUGUAAACUUCUUUUAUAAAGGCAUAAAGUGAGGCACGUGUGACUUUUUGUAUGUACUUUAUGCAUAAAGAUCGGCUAACUCCGUGCCAGCAGCCGCGGUAAUACGGAGGAUCCGAGCGUUAUCCGGAUUUGUUGGGUUUAAAGGGAGCGUAAAUGGGUUGUUAAGUCAGUUGUGAAAGUUUGCGGCUAAACCGUAAAAUUGCAAUUGAUACUGGCAGCCUUGAGGACAGUUGAGGUAGGCGGAAUUCGUGGUGUAGCGGUGAAAUGCUUAGAUAUCACGAAGAACUCCGAUUGCGAAGGCAGCUUACUAAACUGCCACUGACAUUGAUGCUCGAAAGUGUGGGUAUCAAACAGGAUUAGAUACCCCUGGUAGUC
rnacentral:rRNA from 1 species